AGCAUAUCAAUAAGCGGAGGAAAAGAAACCAACAGGGAUUGCCUCAGUAACGGCGAGUGAAGCGGCAAAAGCUCAAAUUUGAAAUCUGGUUGUCUCUGGCAGCCCGAGUUGUAAUUUGAAGAACGGUCCUUGGAGAGGCGCCUGUCUAUGUUCCUUGGAACAGGACGUCGCAGAGGGUGAGAAUCCCGUUUGGCGAGGUGUGCUGAUCCGUGUAAGGGCUGUUCGACGAGUCGAGUUGUUUGGGAAUGCAGCUCUAAGUGGGUGGUAAAUUCCAUCUAAAGCUAAAUAUUGGCGAGAGACCGAUAGCGAACAAGUACAGUGAUGGAAAGAUGAAAAGAACUUUGAAAAGAGAGUGAAAAAGUACGUGAAAUUGUUGAAAGGGAAGGUUAUUAGAUCAGACUUAGGGUGGAGUUAUACUUGUCCCCUUGUGGGGCAUUCACUAGCUCCAUGUCUAGGCCAGCAUCGAUUGUUUGUGGCCGGAAAAGGGGCGGAGGAAUGUGGCUGUGCCCUUAGCUGGUGCAGUGUUUAUAGCCUCUGCCUUAUGCGGCCUAGCUCGAUCGAGGACUGCGGCUGUCUAACAGCCUAGGAUGCUGGCGUAAUGAUCUAAUAUCGCCCGUCUUGAAACACGGACCAAGGAGUCUAACGUCUAUGCGAGUGUUUGGGUGUGAAACCCGUACGCGUAAUGAAAGUGAACGUAGAUUGGAGCCCCGCAAGGGGUGCACAAUCGACCGAUCCGGAAGUAUUCUGAAGGAUUUGAGUAAGAGCAUAGCUGUUGGGACCCGAAAGAUGGUGAACUAUGCCUGAAUAGGGUGAAGCCAGAGGAAACUCUGGUGGAGGCUCGUAGCGGUUCUGACGUGCAAAUCGAUCGUCGAA
rnacentral:rRNA from 1 species